UACGUAGGGUGCAAGCGUUGUCCGGAAUUAUUGGGCGUAAAGAGCUCGUAGGCGGUUUGUUGCGUCGGCUGUGAAGUCCCGAGGCUCAACCUCGGGUCUGCAGUCGAUACGAGCAAACUAGAGUGUUGCAGGGGAGACUGGAAUUCCUGGUGUAGUGGUGAAAUGCGUAGAGAUCAGGAGGAACGACCGGUGGCGAAGGCGGCCUAACUGGGCUGUCACUGACGCUGAGGCGCGAAAGCUCGGGAGCGAACGGG
rnacentral:rRNA from 1 species